CGGGAAAAGCUCAAAUUUAAAAUCUGGUAGUCUUUGGCUGCCCGAGUUGUAAACUAGAGAAGUGUUAUCCGUAUUGGACCAUGUAAAAGUCUCCUGGAAUGGAGCAUCAUAGAGGGUGAGAAUCCCGUCUAUUG
rnacentral:rRNA from 1 species